rnacentral:rRNA from 1 species
UGGCGGCGUGCUUAACACAUGCAAGUCGAACGGAAAGGCCCUGCUUUUGUGGGGUGCUCGAGUGGCGAACGGGUGAGUAACACGUGAGUAACCUGCCCUUGACUUUGGGAUAACUUCAGGAAACUGGGGCUAAUACCGGAUAGGAGCUCCUGCUGCAUGGUGGGGGUUGGAAAGUUUCGGCGGUUGGGGAUGGACUCGCGGCUUAUCAGCUUGUUGGUGGGGUAGUGGCUUACCAAGGCUUUGACGGGUAGCCGGCCUGAGAGGGUGACCGGCCACAUUGGGACUGAGAUACGGCCCAGAUUCCUACGGGAGGCAGCAGUGGGGAAUAUUGCACAAUGGGCGGAAGCCUGAUGCAGCAACGCCGCGUGCGGGAUGACGGCCUUCGGGUUGUAAACCGCUUUCGCCUGUGACGAAGCGUGAGUGACGGUAAUGGGUAAAGAAGCACCGGCUAACUACGUGCCAGCAGCCGCGGUGAUACGUAGGGUGCGAGCGUUGUCCGGAUUUAUUGGGCGUAAAGGGCUCGUAGGUGGUUGAUCGCGUCGGAAGUGUAAUCUUGGGGCUUAACCCUGAGCGUGCUUUCGAUACGGGUUGACUUGAGGAAGGUAGGGGAGAAUGGAAUUCCUGGUGGAGCGGUGGAAUGCGCAGAUAUCAGGAGGAACACCAGUGGCGAAGGCGGUUCUCUGGGCCUUUCCUGACGCUGAGGAGCGAAAGCGUGGGGAGCGAACAGGCUUAGAUACCCUGGUAGUCCACGCUGUAAACGGUGGGUACUAGGUGUGGGGUCCAUUCCACGGGUUCCGUGCCGUAGCUAACGCUUUAAGUACCCCGCCUGGGGAGUACGGCCGCAAGGCUAAAACUCAAAGGAAUUGACGGGGCCCCGCACAAGCGGCGGAGCAUGCGGAUUAAUUCGAUGCAACGCGUAGAACCUUACCUGGGUUUGACAUGGAUCGGGAGUGCUCAGAGAUGGGUGUACCUCUUUUGGGGUCGGUUCACAGGUGGUGCAUGGCUGUCGUCAGCUCGUGUCGUGAGAUGUUGGGUUAAGUCCCGCAACGAGCGCAACCCUUGUUCACUGUUGCCAGCACGUUAUGGUGGGGACUCAGUGGAGACCGCCGGGGUCAACUCGGAGGAAGGUGGGGAUGACGUCAAGUCAUCAUGCCCCUUAUGUCCAGGGCUUCACGCAUGCUACAAUGGCUGGUACAGAGAGUGGCGAGCCUGUGAGGGUGAGCGAAUCUCGGAAAGCCGGUCUCAGUUCGGAUUGGGGUCUGCAACUCGACCUCAUGAAGUCGGAGUCGCUAGUAAUCGCAGAUCAGCAACGCUGCGGUGAAUACGUUCCCGGGGCUUGUACACACCGCCCGUCAAGUCAUGAAAGUUGGUAACACCCGAAGCCGGUGGCCUAACCGUUGUGGGGGAGCCGUCGAAGGUGGGACUGGUGAUUAGGACUAAGUCAUAAC